ACGAACGCUGGCGGCGUGCUUAACACAUGCAAGUCGAACGGAAAGGCCCUGCUUUUGUGGGGUGCUCGAGUGGCGAACGGGUGAGUAACACGUGAGUAACCUGCCCUUGACUUUGGGAUAACUUCAGGAAACUGGGGCUAAUACCGGAUAGGAGCUCCUGCUGCAUGGUGGGGGUUGGAAAGUUUCGGCGGUUGGGGAUGGACUCGCGGCUUAUCAGCUUGUUGGUGGGGUAGUGGCUUACCAAGGCUUUGACGGGUAGCCGGCCUGAGAGGGUGACCGGCCACAUUGGGACUGAGAUACGGCCCAGACUCCUACGGGAGGCAGCAGUGGGGAAGAUUGCACAAUGGGCGGAAGCCUGAUGCAGCAACGCCGCGUGCGGGAUGACGGCCUUCGGGUUGUAAACCGCUUUCGCCUGUGACGAAGCGUGAGUGACGGUAAUGGGUAAAGAAGCACCGGCUAACUACGUGC
rnacentral:rRNA from 1 species